AGCGAACGCUGGCGGCAGGCUUAACACAUGCAAGUCGAGCGGGCGUAGCAAUACGUCAGCGGCAGACGGGUGAGUAACGCGUGGGAACGUACCUUUUGGUCGGAACAACCCAGGGAAACUUGGGCUAAUACCGGAUAAAGCCCUUACGGGGAAAGAUUUAUCGCCGAAAGAUCGGCCCGGCGUCUGAUUAGCUAGUUGGUGAGGUAACGGCUCACCAAGGCGACGAUCAGUAGCUGGUCUGAGAGGAUGAUCAGCCACAUUGGGACUGAGA
rnacentral:rRNA from 1 species